UACGGAGGGGGCAAGCGUUAUUCGGAAUUAUUGGGCGUAAAGGGCGCGUAGGCGGCUAGAUGUGUCAAAGGUGAAAUCCCUCGGCUCAACUGAGGAACUGCCUUUGAAACUGUCUGGCUUGAGGCCGGGAGAGGGUAGCGGAAUUCCCAGUGUAGCGGUGAAAUGCGUAGAUAUUGGGAGGAACACCAGUGGCGAAGGCGGCUACCUGGACCGGUUCUGACGCUGAGGCGCGAAAGCGUGGGGAUCAAACAGG
rnacentral:rRNA from 1 species